GAUGAACGCUGGCGGCGUGCCUAAUACAUGCAAGUCGAGCGAACGGACGAGAAUCUUGCUUCUCUGAUGUUAGCGGCGUACGGGUGAGUAGCACGUGCAUCACCUACCUAUAAGACUGGUAUCACUUCGGGAAACCGGUGCUAAUACCGGAUGAUAUUUUGAACCGCAUGGUUCAAAAGUGAAAGACGUUCUUGCUGUCCCUUAUAGAUGGAUCCGCGCUGCAGUAGCUAGUUGGUGAGGUAACGGCUUACCAAGGCAACGAUGCAUAGCCGACCUGAGAGGGUGAUCGGCCACACUGGAACUGAGACACGGUCCAGAGUCCUACGGGAGGAAGCAGUAGGGAAUCUUACGCAAUGGGCGAAAGCCUGACGGAGCAACGCGGCGGGAGUGAUGAAGGUCUUCGGAUCGUAAAACUCUGUUAUUAGGGAAGAACAUAUGUGUAAGUAACUGUGAACAUCUUGACGGUACCUAAUCAGAAAGCCACGGCUAACUACGUG
rnacentral:rRNA from 1 species